rnacentral:rRNA from 1 species
UACGUAGGGUGCAAGCGUUAAUCGGAAUUACUGGGCGUAAAGCGUGCGCAGGCGGUUGUGUAAGACAGAUGUGAAAUCCCCGGGCUCAACCUGGGAACUGCAUUUGUGACUGCACGGCUCGAGUGCGGCAGAGGGGGAUGGAAUUCCGCGUGUAGCAGUGAAAUGCGUAGAUAUGCGGAGGAACACCGAUGGCGAAGGCAAUCCCCUGGGCCUGCACUGACGGCUCGAUGCACGAAAGCCGUGGGGAGCAAACAGG